GACGAACGCUGGCGGCGUGCCUAACACAUGCAAGUCGAGCGGAGAUAGCAGUAAUGUUAUCUUAGCGGCGGACGGGUGAGUAACGCGUGGGCAACCUACCUCAGACUGGGGGAUAACACAGGGAAACUUGUGCUAAUACCGCAUAACAUCAUGAGAUGACAUCAUCUUAUGAUCAAAGGAGCAAUCCGGUUAGAGAUGGGGCCCGCGUCCAAUUAGCUAGUUGGUGAGGUAACGGCCCACCAAGGCGACGAUUGGUAGCCGAACUGAGAGGUUGAUCGGCCACAUUGGGACUGAGACACGGCCCAGACUCCUACGGGUGGCAG
rnacentral:rRNA from 1 species